CCUUGAAUUCCAGGGAAAGAAGGAAAGCAGGAAGGGGCCUGCCUCUUUAAUAAAAGGAGCUGGCACACAAUCCCAAUACCUAUUGAGAAGGGAAUUUGUAUUUUGAUUUGAUCAAUCAGGGAUUUCGACUUCCCUUCAGUUUGUUUUUAAUUUAGGUCAAUCAGCAGCCAGUGAAUUGAUCCCACAGGCACUGCUCCCCUGGGUGGGUUAAUUGAGGAAUUGUGAUUGGUUCCUGGGGAGUGAUAUAAGAAAGCUUGUGGGUAUAGUAAGGAUUUAUAAGAGGAGACCCAGGAGGAAGCUGGGGUUUAUUUUCUGAAGCUAAGAUUUGGAGACAGACACUGAGUUGUUAGGUUCUGGAAUAUUAGGCUAGGAAAUUCUUCACCUCUUUUCUAUAUUAUUCUCUUAUUUUUUUUUCUUAUUAGUAAAUCUAGCUAUUAAAAGCCUUGUGGCUUAAGGGUUAGUUACAGUUUUUGGUGACCACCCAUUCUAAUCAUUACAAUUUUGGUGACCCAGAUGGGACAAUGAGUACUCUCAUUUUCUUCAGUACUUUUUCUCUCCCUAAGCUAUUCUUGAGUAGGUUUGUUAGUAGCUAAAUUCUAGAGUUAGGAGUUCUUACUCCUCUUUAAGUUGGUAGAGCAGUUUGGAAUAGACAAGGGAGCAGAUUAGCCUCAUGGCUACAGCUGUUGUCUAGUGCUGUGGAGCAGUUUGGAAGCCCCUUUCACUUCUAUGGAAGCUGUGCUGCUGUUGCCUCCUGACUACUGCUGAUUCCCUGAGAGUUCUGCACAGGCAAGUGAGAUCUUUUCCCUUUAACUAAGAACACCUGAGUGCUUGCUGCUGCCUGGUAAGCCCGUGGGUUGUUUUUUUUUUUUAAGCAGCAGUCAGCUCCCUCAGGGUUUCAUCUGGUGUAUGUGGGGUGGAGGGUGGGGUGGGGGUAGGGGUGAAACGCUUUCACUUCUCUGACUCCCUGCCUUGGGGAAGGAUACCCAGCACCCACGUGCUUCUAGCAUUGACUUUAGGGUGGAGGUGGAGGACUUAAGGAGAGCAACUGUAAAGAUAAAUAAAACUGUUCCCUUAACCCUCCCUUAAGCUUUCAGAGCCUACUAAGGGGAAAAUCCCAACAUCCCACACCCUGUGCUUAUACCCCAAACCUGUGACACUCUUAGCUAAACUUGGGCUAUACCCUGAAGGUUUUACCUAUCUACCUAAAUAGGUGAUUGAAUAUGGUGCUGAAAAUCAUAGCCCACACAAUGAAAGAGCAGAUUCCUGCCUAUCUCAAACAGCUCCUGUUUCCAAAGAGCAUUAGAGUUCACACAGGUCUCGAUUCUAUAUUGUCUUCAUUUAUUACCAUUUCUGGGUGUAAUUGUACUGAUAGCAUACCUUCAAAUUUACCAAAUAGUUUACUCAUUCCUCCCCAAGAAAAAACAACAAAAAUAUAGCUUGAUUGAUCUCAAGACUUGGAUAAAAUGCCUUGAAAAAUGCAUCUCUCAUCCUGCUCAAAUUACCUCUCACUCUACCCAAACUACCUCUCCCCUUAUCCCUACUACUCUUCCUGAUCCCUUCACCUACUCCAUUGCAACCCAAACAAAAAUUUAAGAUAAUUCAAUUAAAGGCCUAUUCCCCCUAAGUAUCCACUUACAAUAAACAAGAAUAUUUUGCAAAUAUUAAACAACAUUUGCCUUUCACUCCAAAAGAUAUUGAGAUACAAGGCAAAUACCCCCUUCCUUUGAAGAUGAUCCCACUGUAGUCAUAAAAAAGCUGGAAAAUAUUUACUACACUUAUGAUCCCACAUUGAUUGAUGUGGAAAAUUUGCUCCAAGCCUUUAUUACAGAAAGAGAAAGAAAUAAAAUUGUUUCUCUUGUUAAUGAGGCUCAGGGAAGAGGAGCAAUUGAUUGACCAAAGGAAGACCCAAAAUGGGAAUCGAAUGUAGGAGGAGAUUACUUACAUUAUGUCAAGGUAUGGAGGCAUUGCUAAAAGCAAUGAGAACUUGCUUUGAAAGGCCUGGUACAUAGACAAAAAUUGAAAAUGUUAAACAAAAAUAUGAUGAAAGCCCCUGCCAGUUUAUGGAUAGGCUUAUUGAGAUGGGAGGUAGAUAUAGACCUGGAUCUUUCCAGAGAAAAGGAUGUCAGACAAAUAAGACAGUUUGUGGAAAAAACUGUUGUAAAGUGGUUAAGGACUAUUUUAAGACUAACUGCCCAAACUGGGCUAAUAUGGAUCUUGAGAAAUUAAGAAGAGUAGUAGUUUAUGUCUUUGGCCAUGAAAAAAAAAAGAUGAAGAUAAUAGUGACAUAGUGGAGGCAUUAAGGAAGGAAAUAAGAAUUUUAACUAAAAAAAAUUGAAAAAGAAAAAGCAAAUCAAGGAGUGACCAUAGCCCCUUUGCAGGAAUCCACAAAUCAACCAGUAAUGUGUUACUUUUGUGAGAAAAGGGGUCACAUAAUGAUGAACUGUAAGAAGUAGAAUCAAGUAUUUAGAACUAUAAGCUUUAAAAAUAAUAGAAACUCGUAUAGAAAUAGUAAUUCAAAUAAGACAAAUCAAGACACACAACAAAACACCCCAAAUGGGGCCCAUCCAUACUAUACUCAGGGUGGGAAUCCCCCUAUGUGUAGGGGACCCCAGAGAAAUAGCCAAGGAUCUUUUUGAUGGUGGGGAGGAGGGCUCUGGAAUCAGAGCAAAAUCUUUGAUUUCCUAGACCCUGAUGUUUUAAUGUCAGUUAUCCCAGUCAGUUUCCCACCCAACCCCAAGUAAUGUACCUCAUGUAACUCUAAAGGUUGGAAACAUGUAUUAUGAUUACCUCUUAGACACUGGAGCUUCCGGGUCAGUUUUGAUGAGUAAACCUGAUUCUGAAUGCAAUUCUAUUGGCUCUUUAAAUGUAGGAGGUGUAUAUACCUCUAAAGACUCCCAAAGCUUUCCCCUUGAAUGGUGUCUAUGGGACCCCUAACAGUAGAACAUUCUUUCCUUUUAAUGCCUGGUUCCCCUUUAAAUCUGUUAAGGAGAGAUCUUUAAUGCAAACUUAGUCACAAUAACAUGAUCUCAAGAUGGCUCUAUAACACUAAAAUUGCCUGAGGAAUCCUUAAAUUUGCUCUCUGUAUUUAUUUUAGACAGUCAAGAGGUGAAAGAGCCCCCCAACUUUGAAAUCCUAGCUGAUAUAUCUGAGUCUCUCUGGGCCAUAUCUUCUUCCAAUGUAGGCCUACUCAAAUUAGCUAUUCCUGUUCAAAUUAAGACAAAAGGUGGUCCACCUCCUUUCCUUCCUCAGUAUCCCCUAUCAAAAGAGCCAAUUGAGGGAAUUACCCCAGUGAUAGAUUCAUUGAUUAAGCAAAGAAUAAUAAUUCCAUGCAAAUCUGAAUAUAAUAUACCUAUUCUACCUGUUAAAAGCUAAAAACAGGCCCAGGAAAACAUGUAUAUUGAUUUGUACAGGAUUUAAGGACUGUAAAUCAUGUCAUAAAAAGGUAUCCUGUGGUUCCCAACCCAGUCACAAUUAUUUCCUCUAUUCCCAACACAGCCACAUUUUACUGUGGUAUAUCUGUGCUCAGCAUUCUUCUUAAUCCAUAUUAAUGAAAAUUCCAGGAAUAUAUUUGCCUAUGGGAAUCUGCAAAGGUUCUAAGUACCUGGUCCAGGCUGCCAUAAGGGUUCGUGGACAGUCCCAUGUUGUCAUCACAUAUUUUAAAACAGGAUUUAGACAAUAUUAAAUUUCAGAAUAGCUGUUUGAUACAAUUUGCAGAUUAUCUGUUUUUUUUUUUAUCUCACCAAAUACCACAGUAUUCCAGGAAGAUAGCAAGCAUCUUAUUUUAGAGCUACACAAGAGAGGCCAUAAGGUCUCAAAGUCAACGGUUCAGUGUAUCUCCCCAAAGUAGAAUAUUUAGGGUUUAUUGUAACUGCUGGUGCCCACUUCAUUUCCCCUAAAAUCAUUGAAGAUGUUCAGAAAUUGACUGUCCCCUCCACUAAAACAGUUGAGGGCAAUUCUAAGAACAACAGGGUUUUGUAAACAGUGGAUCUCUUGCUAUGGAGAAAUCACCAAACCCCUUAUAGCUCUAACAAAAAAUUCAGUCUCUGAACAGCUUAGAUUAGAGGUGGAACACCUGUCAGCUCUUUCAGAAUUAAAAAAGGCUAUUCUGACUGCCCCUGCUAUAGGCAUUCCGGAUUACAAAAAAACACUUACCUUGUAUGUACACAAAUAAGGAUAGCUUUGACUGUUCUAACUCAAACUUUAGGACCUGUUUAGCAUCCAUUUCUUUAUUAUUCAGUCUAGCUGGAGCCAGUAGCUUCAGGAGUCUUUGAGGUGUAGCUGAUAUAGUUUUAUUAGUAACUAAGUCUGCUGAUUUAGUAUUGGGGAGCCCACAUGAAGUUGAAGCCUUAUUGUUAAGGCAUAGAACACAGGCAUUUUCUGAUCAAAGACUUUCCAGAUAUGAAGUAAACUUGUUAGGCAAUGAAACUAUUACCUUGAAAUGCUGUACAGUACUUAAUCCUGCCACCUUGCUUCCAGAUUUUCCAGUUUAAGGAGAACCAUUGCAUAACUGAAUCUUUAGUGCCCAUGGCAGAAAAACCUCGAGAUAAUCUCAUGGACACUCCUUUACACAACAUAUUUUUAGUUUUAUUCACUGAUGGUUCUUAUUUCAUGAGGGAUGAUAUGCUCUAUACUGGAACUGCCAUAGUCACAGAAUUUGCCACUCUGUAGUCAGCUUCACUGCCCUCAAAUACAAGUGCUGAAGGUGCAGAACUGAUAGCUCUAAAACAUUCCUGUAUAAUUGCUAAAGAUAAAAAGGCAACAAUUUACACAAAUUCUACAUAUGCAUUUGGAAUAUGUCAUACAGUGGGUAUGCUAUGGCUCUAAUGGGGGGGGGUUAACUUCUUCUGGAAAAUGUAUUGCAAAUGCAGAAAUCAUUAAUGAAGUUCUUUCUGCUCUACAGCUACCUGAAGUCCUAGCUGUAGUUCAUUGUUCUGCCCAUACAGGUGGAACUGACCCUAUCUCUAGAGGAAACCACCAGGCAGAUACUGCAGCAAAGCUUGUUGCCAUACAAGGACCCGAAUUGAUUUUAACUUUGGCAAUUAGUAGCUAAUCAAAUUUAUCACUCUUAUAAUGAACAAGAAGUAAAAAAAUGGAAACAAAGGUUUAAAGCAAAAUAGAUCAGUGGUAUGGGUGUCAUCUGAAGGAAAAUCCCAACAACCUAUAAAUUUUUUAUCACCAAAUAUGCUAUGUUCACAUGUCAAGCCUGUAACCAAUGUGCCUUUCAUGGCAAAGCUUUUGGUGGGAAUCCUCUGGCUUACACACCUUUUGAGCACUUACAAAUAGAUUUUAUUACUGUGCCUAAGACUGGAACUUUAUAAAUUUUGUAUAGUCAUAGUGGAUCAGCUGACUAGAUAGCCAGAAGUUUCCUAGCACUCAAGUCACAACUUUUAAAAGAGAUUAUUCCUCACUUUGGCCUGAUAGCAUGAAUUGAUUCAGACAGAGGAACUCAUUUUACCAACUCUAUUUUGUCUCAGAUUUAUUCGUGUUUGGGAAUCACCAAAUUCCAUGUACUGUAUCAUCCCCAGAGCUCAGGACAAGUUGAGAGAAUGAAUAGAGACUUUAAGACUAUGAUUAGAAAAUUGCACUGAAACUCACUUAAAAUGGUUUAAAGUUCUCCCUCUAGUUCUGUUUUAUCUUCAAAGCAGGCCCAGGGGAGAUCUAUACAUCUCACCAUUUGAGAUGCUUUUUGGACAUCCCCCCAUACAGUCUAAGUCUUUUUCUCCUGCAUACACAUCAUUACUAUGGGGGAACACUUCUAUUGCUUUGUUUAUACAGGACUUCCAAAUCAAAUUGCAAGAACUCCAUGAAUCUGGAGCUGUAAUACAAGCAGGACCUCUAGACUUCUCACUCCAUGACCUUUACUCAGGAGACAAGAUUUACUUAAAGAACUUCCAGAGGACUGGUGGAAUUCAGCCUGCCUGGAAAGGUCCAUUUUAAGUACUGUUAAUCACUCCAAAAACUAUUAAAUUAGGAUAAAAAGACUCCUGGAUUCAUUGCUCACAUGUAAAAUGGGUAGCUUCUAUUGACACUGAUUAACUAUAUCCUGUUAUUGUCUUUACUUGUACACUUUUCCUAUGCCUGGACUGGAGAUAAUGCCAUUAUAGAAGUCCAUAGACAAGUUGGACACUGUUUUGACUGACACAGCGAAUUCCUGAAUAUUUUUAUUGCUUUCCUUUUGUUUGCAUGGAAUCAGUAUUGGUGUUUUUUAUUUUAAAGGAUAAGCUUAUAAUAUCCAUUAACCCUAAUAUCAAUGCAUAACCAAAAGUUUUAGACUAAAGAAACCUGCCAUUUAUUUUAAAUAUUUUGGGGUUUUUAUUAAAAUUGUGUCUGAUUUCAAAAGAAGGGAUUACAAAAGAGCCACUGUACAGUACGAAGAAGCUCAAGGUCAAGGAGACAAACAAUCCCUGUGAGAUUGAUAAGUAUCUGUGCCAAGACAGAGGAGUUGUUUUAGGUUCGAGGAAGGAGCUAUUUGACAAUGUCAGACUGCUGGACUCCCCUGUGCCACAUGCUGAAAAGUACCUUACUUUGGCUGCCAUUUUGGCUCCCCUAUCCCUAAAAUCAAAGGUAAAAUCAGGCCAGGGAAUUAUAUUUCCUGUUUACAUUGGAAUCUAGUCCCUUUUUCUCAUUUAUAGUAUGGCAAUCUUCUGUAGUCCUGGCUGCUGUUGGGUAAAUGCAGUAUUGUUAUAUUUGUCCUGUAGGUUUUUAGGUCAUAAAUCAUUUUAAUUGGACCUUGUUAAUGAUCCAAGGUCUUGUUGCAAGUUUGUUCUUUUUUGCUUAUAAUUUUAUUAUUAUUGGGUGAUCCUGGUAUUGGUUGGCACCCUCCUUGUGGGGUGGGGGUUGUAUGGUUUAUGGUUUUAAUUGUAUAGUUGUCCUAAAAUCCAGAGUUUGAAAAUCUUUUGGAGGAAUUUUAGGAGAAGAGACUUGCCAACACCUUAAAUUGGUAAGGUGAAUUUUUUUGAAGAGGGUGCUAUGGAGAUGCCUAUAGAAACCACACACUUCAUCAAGAGAUCUAGAAUGAACUGAACUAAAGGAGAUUGAACACAUUUAUUCUAAAGGUAAAUUCUUAUACCAAAGGGGAUGCCCCCGAUUGGCUUUUUGUCAUGCAUCUAAUUUUUGUUUUUUUUUCCCCUCUUGUUCCCAGGUUGCUGUAAUUUUCUCUUAGAAAGGGCAAUGUUUUAUAUACCUUUAGUGGGAGAAUCCUUAGAGAUACACACGUUGGUUUUUUUAAAUGAUUCACUGGGGGGAUUAAGCAUGUUAAUCUCUCAAGACCCUCAAUUGAGGAAAUUUCAACAUGUUUGUCUCCCAAUAGAAUCACAGCAAGGGUGGGGUGGGGGAGAGAAGAGUUGUGAGAAGGGAAUUUGAAUUUUGAUUUGAUCAAUCGGGGAUUUAGACUUCCCUUGCAUUUGUUUUUGUUUUUUGAAAAUUUUUAUUUAAUUAAUUGCUUUAGAAUGUGAUUUAAAAAAGAAUAGAAUCAUGUUUACAUUAUUCAUGUUCUUUCCCUUCUCAUUCCCCUCCUGUAGCCAAUGAGUAAUUCCACUGAGUUUUACAUUUGUCAUUAAUCAAGACCUAUUUCCACAUUAUUAUUUGCAUUAGGGUGAUCACUAGAGUCUACAUCCCCAAUCAUCUCUGUCAACCCAUGUGAUCAAGCAGUUGGUUUUCUUCUAUGUUUCUACUCCCACAGUUUUUUCUCUGGACCUUACAUUUGUUUUUAAUUUGGGGCAAUCAGCAACUAGGGAAUUGAUCCCACAGGGUCUAUCCCCCUGGGUGGUGCCAGGCUAAUUGAAGAAUUGUGAUUGGUUCCUAGGGAGUGAUAGAAGAGAGCUAGUGAGUGUAGUAAGGAUUUAUAAGAUGAAACCAAGCAGGAAACGGGGAAUUAUUUUCUGAGGCCAAGAUUUGGAGACACACUGAGUUGUUAGGCUAGGAAAUUUUUUACCUCCUUUCCAUAUUUUUCUCUUUCUUUUUCUUAUUAAUAAAUCUAGCUAUUAAUAGUCUUGUGACUUAAGGGUUAAUUACAAUUUUUGGUGACCAACCAUUCUAAUCAUUACACUAUUCAAAGCCAAAAUGGAGUUUGGACAGAUUAAAGACAGAUGUGCUGGUGGGCUGAUGGGUGGGCUGCCAGGUGGUGCAAAGAUCUUCUCUGUCUGCUCAGAGUUCUGACACCAGACACAGGCACUGGUAGAGGUUUCUCUACUGCUUAGUUCUUCUGCUUUCAUUUAAAGGGUUAUUUGGGGGGGGUGGCAUUGCUGAGGGGCUGUGGAGCACCAUGUAGAGAGGCAGGAGCUGAGAGAGAAAGCAUAGUACUACACUGUAAAGUUAUCAAGUGUUAAAAGUUAAAUGGAAGAGGAGGCAGUUAGGUAUCACAGUGGGUAAAGUGCCAGGUCUGGAUUUAGGAGAACCUGGGUUCAAAUGUGGUCUCAGAUACUUCUUAGUUGUGUGACCCUGUGCAAGUCACUUAACCCCAUUUGCCUAACCCUUGCUGUUUUUCUAUCUUAGAACUAAUACUCAGACACAGAAGAUAAGGGCUUAAAAAAGUUGAAGUGAGAACUGUCUCUCGGUUUUAGGCAUUAAGUGGAUGUCUUAGAACAUAUUCCCCAUGGAUAAAGUGGAGGUGGGGGAUAAUACUAUAUAAAAAUGUACAAUGUACUUUAUUAUUACUACAUUUAAUGUUGUUAAUCUCUUAUGUGUUUAAUUUAUCAAUUAAAAUUUAUUAUACUUGGGGGUAGCUGGGUAGCUCAGUGGAUUGAGAGUCAGACCUAGAGACUCAAAUCUGGUCUCAGACACCUCCCAGCUGUGUGACCCUGGGCAAGUCACUUAACCCCCAUUGCCUAACCCUUACUGCUCUUCUGCCUUUGAACCAAUACAAAGUAUUGAUUCUAAGAUGGAAAGUAAGGGUUUAAACAUUUUUAUUAUAUGUGUAUAUAUAUAUAAGAAAAUCACAUUACAUAUGUUAGUAAGUGUUCCCCUAUAUCUAAUAUUUCUCCAUAGUAGGUCUUGUUAUGUAUUCCUUGUACAAACAUGGCCCUUCUCUCUGUCUCCUCUCCCUACAUCCCUCCCGAUCUCUCAUCUAAUAAAAUAAAAAAAAAACCACUCUUACUUUCUGCCUUGGUAUCAAUUCUAAGACAGAAGAGCAGCAAGAUGGUAUUAAGUGACUUGCCCAGGGUCACAUAGCUAGGAAGUAUCUGAUCCAAUUUUGACCCCAGGCCUACCACUCUAGCCACAGUGCUAGCUAGCUUCCCUCUCCCCUUACUGUAUCACUUGAGUUUGGCAGCUCUAGUGGGACAUCUUUAGAGUGGCCAAAGAGGCAUGGAUUGAAUGGUUUUAGGAUAAUGAUUUUCCAUGGGUAUGCCAAAAAUUGAAUGGCUGUUCUGUUUGAGGAGACAAACGGAGCCAUUUAACUCUCUUUUGUCAUGUUGAAUUUUGUCUAUUUUUUUUUGAGAAUAUCAUUAUUUGCAACCUGAACAUGACUUGUGAAUCAGAAAUUUCUAGCUGUGAGCUGGCUCUGUCUGUCAUUGAUUCUUUCUCUAAGCACCAAUGUUUAUAAGAAUCUUUCAAAUGGGCUCAAAAGCAUUAGAUUGGAAAAUGUUGUCAUAUUUCAAAAAAGAGAAGCAGAGUUGUCAUGGGAGCUUAAGCUGCUUCCACAACACAGAUAAGCUGGAUAAUAAUAAUAAUAAUAAUUAGAAAAAGAAUAGCUGGCAUUUAGACUGUCUUCUUUGUACCAGGAACUGUGGUAAGCACUUCACAAAUAUUAUCUCGUUUGAUUCUCUCGACAAUCCUGGGAGAUGCUAUUUUCUCCAUUUUACAGAUGAAGAAACUGAGGCAAACAGGUUAAGUGUUACCCAAUGUCAUGAGGAUGGAUUUAAACUUGGGUCUUCCUGACUCCAGGUCAAACAUUCUAUUCACUACAUCACCCAAUUGCCUCUAAAUGAAUAGAAACUAUUUCUUUCAGGCUUGUGCUUAAAACAGAGUACAGAUUCCUCCCUGUGCCCCCAAGUCUCCUUUAAAAUAUCUCCCCCAGAACUAGCACAAUAUCCCACUUAUUGUCUGACCAGGGCAGAGUAUAUAGGAAGAUUUUCAAGCCAAUACACAGUAUUGACUCCAAGAUGGAAACCCUAUAAAAGGGUUAAAAAAAAUCUAGUUCUAUAUGUCUAUAUCCCCAUCUCUCUGGAAGUACAUAUAUACACUAUAUAUCAUGGUGGCAUGUACUAUAUACAUUGUAGGGGUAUAUACACACCACACAUAUAGAUUUAAUAAAUUAUCUAUACCCAUACUACACGCUAGACACUAAUGACACAAAGAUAAAAAUCAUACGGUCUCUGGCCUCAAGGAGUUUCUAUUUCACUGGGGGAAUUACAACAUCUUUAGAGAAGCAUAAUACAGGUUUGAGUGUGGCAGGAGCAAAGGAAAAAUCUAGGCAAAGAAGCCUAGGACAACAUGAGGAGGGCAUGGACACAUUUAGCUAGGGGGAUUAGGUUAGGGAAGGUGGCACCAGAGAUGAGCCUUCAAAGCAGAGAGAUUCCAACAGGUGGAGACCAUAGCUUUAGACCUGGGAGCAGAAGUGUGCUAUAGACAGCUUGUACAGGCUUAUGGGAACCAGUUGUUGAACUUUCUGAGUGAUCAUUUAUACCUCACUAAUCAGCAAAUAGGGUGGCUAGGUGGCACAGUGCCAGGCUUGAAGCCAGGAAGACUCAUCUUCCUGAGCUCAAAUCUAGCCUCAGACACUAGCUUGGUGACUCUGGGCAAACCAUUGGUUUGCCUCAGUUUCCUCAUCUAUAAAAUGAUGUGGAGAAGGAAAUGACAAACCACUCCAGUAUAUUUGCCAAGAAAGCUUCAAAUAGGGUCAUAAAGCAUUGGAAAUGACUGAAACAACUGAACAAAAAUCAGCAAAUAGCACACACAUCAGAACUUGGGUUUAUUGUUUUGUGGAUUGUCUAAAUUUAAUAAAGUGAUGGAGAAAAUGUCGAUGAUGCAGAUUCAAGUUAAAAGUGUCAUGGGCACAUUUGUUUUUUCUGCUGGAGAGCCAGUUGUCAAACAUUUACCAGCGUUCUGCUGCAUGGAAGGGACCUCAGAGACCAUCUAGCCUUCCAGUGCUUCACCAAUCCCAGAUGGAGAUCUUCAGAUUGUUCUGAAAAAAGACUGGAGGGGUUGAGCUUCUGGUAAACUCAGUUUAACUGUGACUCAGCGUGAAGUGGUAACCACAAAAAGCUAAUAUCUUCUUGAGCUUCAUUUAGAGGCAAAGUUUCCAGAAAUAGGGAGGUGAGCAUCCCACUGCACUCUGCCCCAUCAAACGUCUCCAACAGAAUUGUGUUCACUUGUGGAAACCAGAUUUUAAGGAAGACUUUGAUAAACUAGAGUGUCCAGGGGAGGGCGACCAAGGUAAAGACCCUUGAGUAUAUUUCAUAUGAAGACCAAUUGAAGAAACUUGGAACAAAAUGGUAGAAAGUUCAUUUAUUCAUUCAUUAAACACUCUGUACUAGGCACUGUUGAUAAGAGGAAAAAAUGUCAAACUCAAUAGCCUUGUCUUGGAAGGCCUUACAGUCUACAGGAUUAGUAACACUGACACAGGUGGGUGAGUGUUUAUUAAUUAAUCUGGAGAGAAAGGGAGUAUUAGCUGCCCCCCACUUCUACUUAAAUAACUCACAUACCUCUAGACACCAGAGGGAAGAUAUCUAUCUAUUCUGUGAUAUCAUUCCAACUUCAUAUUCUCAGGCAGGACCUGUGAUUUCAUCAAUGUGGGGAAAUUCCUAGUGUGGAAACUCCCUUUUGUAAAAGUUAAAAUUAAAUUUAACUGCCAGUUGAAUACCAGUAAUGUGAUCUUGCCAACAUGGAGACUCAGGAGAGAUUAUAGGGAAUUCUGGGAAAUACCAAGGACUUCUGGGGAAUGAAGUCUAAGGUUCAAAAUCUCCCAUUUAUGUAUUUUGAUACAGUUCAGUAAUUCAUUUCAUCUAUCCCUUAGAAGUGGAUAGAGAGCCAGGACUGGAGUCAGGAAGACCUGGGUUCAAAUCUAGCCUCAGAUACUUCCUAGCUGUGUGACUCCUAGUCACUUAUUUCCAUUUGCCUAACCCUUGGCCUUCUUUCUUGUAAUUGUUACUAAGACAGAAAGUAAGGGUUUAAAAUAUAAACAAAUAGAUAAGUUAAAUGAAGAAAUAAUAAUAAAGUAGAAGCUCGGGCAGUGGAAGUCGGAAAAGAGAGGCUGGAAUAAUCUUAUAUUCAUGGUUACCCUGACUCUAGAAGUCAAAGGAAAAAUAUACAUCCUAUUGAUCUCUAUUUCCAGUGUCUCUCCUUUUUGUCCUCCACAGAUCUGCCAACAUAAUCUAUACAAUGCAUAGGUCUGAUCCCAUCACUCUCUUGCUCAGGAAUUUUGAGUGGUUCCCUAUUUCUCUUAGGAUAACAUUCAAACAACUCCACUUGACACUAAAUUCCCUUUAUAGUUUAGCUAUAGACUACCUUUCCAGAGUUGUUUUACAUUAGGAAAAAGGGGAAAAACAUUCCAAUAGUGCCUACUACAUGCCAUGAGCUAUGUGUUUUACAAUUCUUCUCUCUCUUAAAACAACUCUAGAGAGUGGUGCUAUUAUUACCCCCAUUUGACAGAUGAGGAAACUGAGGCAGACAGAGGGUUAAGUGAUUUACCUAGAAUCAUAUAGCUGGAUUUAAACUCAGGUUCUUCUUCAUUCUAGGUCCAGUGCUUUUCUCUAUCCACUGCACCUCCAGGUGCUUCCUCAUCAUUCAUCUCACUUUGAAGCUAAUACAUCUUGCUUGCUAUUUCCAGUCCCCAGCAUUCCAUCUCUUUCUUCUGACUUAGCAGAGGAGAGUCCCCGUGCCUGGUAUAUAUCCUUCCUCACCUCUGCCUUUUGGAAGAUUACAUCAUUAUUGAAUUGUUUCAGUUAUGUCUGUCUCUUCAUGACCCCAUUUGGGGUUUUCUUGACAAAGUUACUAGAGUGGUUUGCUAUUUCCUUCUUUGGUUCAUUUGAGGAAACUGAGGCAAACAAGGAGAGUCUGUAUUUGUUCUUGAAGUAACAAGUAGCUAUUAAAGCUUAUUAAGCAUCAGAGUGACUUGGUUGGACCUGUGCUUUAGGAAUAUCACUUUAGCAGCUUUAAUAAGAAGAAACCUCACAAGCCUACAAAGCUCAGCUCAGUUUCUGCCAUCUCUGGGAAGCCUUUCUCAGUUAUCCUGAUUGUUAAUACUCCCUUUCUCUCCAGAUUAAUUUACACUCCCCACCCUGGGCCAGUGUUACUUAUUCUGCAGACUGUAAGGUCUUCGAGGGCAACACUAUUGAGUUUGUCAUUUUCUCUCUUAACAACAGUGCCUAGCACAGAGUGUUUAAUGAAUGAAUCAAUCAAUGAACUUCCUACCAUUUUGUUUUUCUGUUCAUUUUUCUUGUCUUGCUGAGAGAAGCUCGACGUUCAUAAGACUGUGAUGCCUCUGUUUCAUAGAGACUUCUAUCAUUAUUCACAGCAAUAACUAGAAAUUGAAAUCUUUACCAGAAUGUGUAGCUAUUCAUUCCCUAGAUCAACCAAGGCACAGUCUUGAUGGUUGUCCCAGUAUUUUCUCCCUUGAGGGUGGCAAUGCCAGGGGAGGGAAGUCAGAACACAUACACACAUAUAUAAACACAGAUGACCUGAAUGGUUCUCUCUCUCCCUCUUCCCCUCCCCCAGAACAUUCUUCAGCAGCAAUAAUAUCCCUUAUUCUACUGGAGACUCCCUUUUGACAAACAAGCCAGACUGGGCUCAAUCUAGUAUUGUUCAGAUGAGCCUUUCACCAUUGAGGCUGGGGCCAUUCCAAUGGACUCAGACUUCUUGUGUAGCCACAGGCUCUCCCGUAAUUUUUCAGAUCUCCAGAUCUCUUCCGAUCCAAGAAUCAGGAUUAGAAGGGCUCCUUCAUCUUCCUUUUUUUAAAACCCUUACCUUCUGUCUUAGAAUUCAUAUUAAACAUCAGUUCCAAGGCAGAAGAGUGGUAAGGGCUAGGCAAUUGGAGGUUAAAUGGCUUGCCCAGAGUCACAUAGCUAGAAUGGGUGAGACCAGAUUUGAACCCAGGAUUUCCUAUCUCCAGGGCUGGCUCUCUUACCCAUUAAGCUACCUCACUGCCCCACUGGAUCCUUUCGAAAGGGUCUUGGACUGAGUUUUUAUGGAAACUAGGGAUUCUCAGAUGUGGAGGUGAACAUGGAGACAGUCUUGAAAGGCAUGAGGAGAAGAGAUGGGAUGCCAUGUAUGAAGGAGAGAAAUUAGGCUACUUUGACUGAACAAACCUUUAAAGGAAGGGUGGAACUAAGUUGUAAAAGGCUUUAAGUGUCCAUUAGGGGAGUCUCUUUAUUUGUUCUUGAGGUAACAAGGAGCCAUUGAAGUUUAUUGAGCAUCCAAGUAACUUGGUUAGGCCUAUGCUGUAGGAAUAUCACUUUAGCAACUUUAAUAAUAAUAAUAACUAACAUUUAUAUAAGUAUUUACUAGAUAACCACACACUGAAAUAAGUGCUUAACAAACAUCUCAUUUUGACAAACAAAUCUGGGAUAUGCUUGCUAUUAUUAUCCACAUUUUACAGUUGAGGAAAUUGAAGCAAACAGAAGUUAAAUAACUUGCUCAAGGUUACAUAGCUAGGAAGCAUCUAUGGCUAGAUUUGAAUUCAGGUCUUCCUGACUUCAGGACCAGCACUCUAUCCACUACGCUACCUUGCUACCCACUAAUAAUAAUAAUAGCUUGCAUUUAUAUGGCCCUUCAAGAUUUACAAGUACUUUCCCCUUAGGAAUUCUGCAAGGUGGACACAUUUUUCUUCUUUUAUUCCCCAAUCACAUGUAGAAACAAUUGUGACAAUUUUUAUCUGACAUUUUACAAUUCAUAUUUCUUCCCUCCUCCCUAAAGUAGUAAAUAGUCUGCUAUAGGUUAUACCAGUGCUGUCAUGCAAUACAUAUUUCCAUAUUGCUCCUGACAGAAAAUAUAUAUUGCACACGCAAUAAAGAAAACUCAUGAAGAAAAAAGUGAAAAAUAGUAUGCUUCCAUCUGCAAUCGGACUCUGCCAGUUCCUUCUUUGGCUGUGGGUAGCAUUUUUCAUAAUGAGUCUCUUGGGGUUAUCUUGGAACCUUGCAUUGCUGAUAAUGAUUCAGUCCUUCACAGUUGAUUACUAUGUAAUUUUUGUUUCUAUAUUCAAUGUUCUCCUGGUUCUCUUCAGUUCACUUUGCAUCAGUUCAUAUAAGUGUUUCAGGGUUUUUUUGAAGUCAUCCCAUUCAUCAUUUCUUCUUAUAAUCAUGUACACAAUUUGUUCAGCCAUUCUUCAAUUGAUGGACAUCCUUUCUGUUUCCAAUUCUUUGCCACUACAGAAAGAGCUGCUAAAAAUAAUUUUGUAGGUCCUUUCUCCCUCUCUUUGAUCUCUUUGGAAUACAGACCCAGUAGUGGUAUUGCUGGGUCAAAGGGUCUGCAUAGUUUUGUAGCUCGUCAGGCAUGAUUCCAUGUUGCUCUUAAGAAUAGUUGGAUCAUUUUCCAGUUCUACUAACAAUAUAUUAGUGUCCCAAAUCUCCCACAUCCCUUCCAACAUUCAUCGUUUUUCUUUUUGGUUAUAUUAACCAAUCUGAUAGGUGUGAGCUGGUAUUUCAGAAUUGUUUUAAUUUGUAUUUCUCUAAUCAACAGUGAUUUGAAGUAUGUUUUCAUAUGACUAUAGAUAGUUUUAAUUUCUUCCUCUGAGAAUUGUCUGUUUAUAUUCUUUGACCAUUUAUCAAUUAAGAAAUGCUUUGUAUUCUUAAAAAUUUGACUCAGUUCUCUAUAUAUUUGAGAAAUGAAGCAGAUUUUCUCCCUUAUUUAUAGAUAAGGAAACUGGAGCUAGCAUGUAAGUGAUUUAUCUAGGAUCACACAGCUAGUAUUGGUAAAUAGAAAAACCAACCAGCCAUAUUGGAAAAUAUUUCUCAUUUUUUCCUGUAUUGACUGUGUUGUUGUUCAGUCAUUUCAGUUGUGUCUGACUUUUCUUGACCCCGUGUGGGGUCAUUUUGCCCCCAUUUGCCAUUUUCUUGGCAAAGAUGCUGGAGUAGUUUGAUAUUUCCUUCUCUAGCUCAGUUUGCAAUGAAGAAACUGAGGCAAACAAGGGCAAUAAGCUGAGUACAAAUAACCAUGUAAUGUUAUUCACAUUGUCAAGAUGUUUUGCAGAUAUAGUUCAGUAGAAUCAGAAAUGAACUUGUAAUUACAGAACCUGCAUUCAAAUUCUGUUUUUUGUUUUGUUCUCAGGAAUUAUAAGUACUAAUUUCUAUUCUUUAAAGAGGAAACUAAGGCCAAGGAAUGGUUAACUUGCCCAAGGUCAUCUACAAUAUAAUCAUCUUCCAUGUACCUGAAAAUUGUGUUUGGUUCAACCCACAUCCUUCUCUUCCCCAGACUAAAUAACCCCAGCUACAUCAAUCUUUCCUCAUAUGUCUCAUUUUCCUUCUGGCUAUCUUUCUGAGUUUUAUCUGAAUUGUGGCCCAGAACUAUAAAUAACAAGAGUUUGAUCAGGGUUCAACCCAGUUUUUGAUAUCAAGAGAAUUUCUUCUCCUAUUCAUGACUGUUUCCACAGUUAUAAAAGGAGGUUGUUGUUCAGUCAUUUCAGUGGUAUCCAAUUCUUUUUGAUCCCAUUUGGUGUUUUCUUGGCAAAGAUACUAGAAUGAUUUGCCAUUUCCUUCUCCAGCUUAUUUUAUAGAUGAAGAAACUAAGGCAAACAAAUUUAAGUGACAUGCCCAGGGUCACACAGCUAAUAAGUAUCUGAAAUCAGAUUUGAACUUGGGAAUUCUAGGUCUGGCACUCCUUGCUAUCCCGCUGCCUCACAAAAAGAGAACAUUAGAUUUUUUUCAGUUAGGAAGACAUAGGGCUAAUUAAAAUUUUUAGUUCCCUCUGGCUUUCAGUGAAAUAGAAGGUGUUCUUACAGCAGAGGCUUUUCAUGUAUUCAGAACAGUAAAAGUCAUUUAAGACAUCUCAGUCACACCCAUCAUUUGCAAUUGAAAGAGUGACCAACUUUAUAUUCUGGAGAAUAAUAAUAGAUGGCAUUCACAGUUUUGAGACUUGUAAAGUACCUUACAUAUAUUAACUCAUUUGUUGCUACACCAACUUGAUGAGCAAGUAAGAUAGAUGUUAUUAUUAUUACCAUUUUAUAGAUUAGGAAACUGAGGCUCUGGCAAAUUACAACUUGCCCAGACCCAGGCCUCUCUUAACUGCAGGUCAAGUUUUCUUUCCUCUAAAUCAGAGGUUCUUAACCUUUUUUUGUGCCAUGGACCCCUUUCAAAAGCUGGUAAAACUUUUAGACCCAUUCCUUGCCUACAUUCAUUUCAGCUAGAGACUAGUGAGUAUGAAGAUGUUAUUAUUUUUCCCCAUCCAUGUUCAUGGACCCCAGGUUAAGCACUCUUACUCCAUGCCCUCCUCCUUAAUCUGUUAAAAGAUGUCACAAGGUAACAGAGAUCCUAAAUUGGACUAGAUGAUUAUAAUUCUGUUGCACAUUUCCCUAAGACAUCCAGCACACCCAGCCGAAGCACAAGAUUCCUAAACGAACCUCCUGAAAUAUUGUUUUUGUUCAGUUGUGUUCAACUCUUCAUGAUCCCAUUUGGGGUUUUCUUGGCAAAGACUAGAGUAGUUUGCCAUUUCCUCCUCCAGCUCAUUUUACAGAUAAGGAAACAGAGGCAGAAUUAAAUGACUUGUCUAGGGUCAUAUAGUAAGUGUCUGAGACCAGAUUUGAACUCAGGAAGAUUAGUUUUCAUGAUCCAGGCCUGGCACUCUAUCCACUGUGCCACCUAGCUGCCCCCAAGCAAAACUGUUGAAGUCCAUACAAUGUCUGAUUUUUCCAAUGACCUAAUUAUCUGUAUGAUCUCUCUGUCUCUCUCUCAAUUCUUUGUAAUAAGAGAUGGUUCUUUGGAAUGGGUCAGGAAGGAGAAUACAGACAAAAUCUAGGUAAUGUCAAAACAGAAGGUUUUUUUUAAAAAAUGUCUUUAAAGAUCCCUAAAUUUUCUCCCACAACUAAUCCCAUGGUAAGGGAAUUCUGUGUAAUCCUACUGUUUGUCAGACAAUAACAUGGGGGAACAUCCAUGUCCUCUUUCUGGAUAAGACACCUAUUUGCCAUCCUCUCUGUUGAGAUUUAAAAACAAAAAACAAUGCCCAGCAUUUCUUUACAGAUUUCAUUAGGUCUCUCCAUUCUUGUAUAAGAAAAAAACUAUAUGGGCCAAAUAGUAAUGCUUGGCCUCCCACAAUCCUGGAGAUCCAAGCAAAAGGUCAGCUAUCCCCACACCACUCCGCCAUCUUUGAUAGAAAGAGCCAGGCUUGCUGAUUCUCAUUUUGUGGCUUGAAAACCUAGCUAGAACAGCUAAAUAACUUGGAAGCACGUAUUAAGUCGAAGGUAGAACAGGGAGGAAUAAACAAGUUUCUUCUUUGUUCUAGUCCUGAAUAGAUUCCAAUGGAUUCUUUCUGACUAGGUGUAUUUAUCUACCUGGUGCUGCCAUCCAUGGGUACAAGGGUGUAUGUGGAGGAGAGAAAAGAUGUAGGAAGUGAAGAAGAUAUAGAAGGGAUUAGAGGGGGAAGGAGGAAAAGAGUGAAAAAGCCAAGAGGGUAGUCUGUAGACUGACAAAACAUUUUGUAAAAUCCAGAAGUCUUCUCAAAAGCUGUACAGCUCUGACCACCUUGUUUAUACCCAGUGUCCUCAAUUUCCCUAAAUAUUUGAGUCCUUUAGGGCAGAGGGUCUUCAUCUGGGGUUUACGAACUUGCUUUUUUCUUUUAAUAACUCUUUGAAUAUUUCCUUUGUAAUCCUAUCGAUAUAAAACACAUAUGUGUUAUAUACUAUGUAUAAUAUACUCUAUACUCUAGUUAAUAUAUCCAUAUAUUUGAUAUUAUAUAAUAUAUAAUUUUAUUAAUAAUAUAUAAUUUAUUACUUUUAUUAAUUUAAAAUAUUAUCCUGAGAAGGGGUCUAUGGGCUUCACUGCCAAAGCAGUCCAAGGCUCACAAAGAAUUGAAAAACCCCUGCCUUAUGGGAAUCUUGGGCCCCUUGAGAAUGAGUGCUGGGUACUGUGGUAGAGGGCUGAGGGAGGAGGAGGCUGGUUGAGAGAAGAGAUUAGGGGCCUGGCAGCUGAGGUGCCAAAAUUAGAAUCCCAUCCCCUGAGACUCACAGAAGCUGUGAGGGGGAGUUGCAAGCCUGAUCCGUGCCAAAUCUAUGCCAGAUCAAAGACACAGGAUCUCUGGGAAACCUCUUUCAACCUAACCCUCCAAACCCAAAUUUUAACCGAGCUGCCAAAGCUCCCAGUUACCAACCCACCAUUUUAAAGAUCUCCCUUAAGAGACAGAAUAGUCAUUCUAAUCCUGACUACCUCUGGGGAGAUCAGUGAAGCUUCACCCUGGGGAGACAAAGUGGCAGUGAGCAGAUGCUGGACUUGGGAGUUCUUAAGUUUGAAUCCUGCCUCAGCUGUUUGACCCUAGGCAAGUCUCUGAACCUCAGUUUCCUGCAAAAUAGAAUCAAUAAUAACAUCUUUGCAAACCUUAAAAAAUGCUGUAUAAACAUGAGCUAUUAUAAUUUUCUCAUCUCCGAAAGCUGGCCUUAAAGUCAGGAAUUUGUAGCAAUGGCAUUUAUGAUUUCAUUGGUACAGAGUUCAGCAUCUUCUUUGUAUCGGAGGCAGAAUCUCAAGCUAGAUCUUCUUGGCUGUCUGGCCAGCUCUCUGGCCAUAUCCAAAUGUCUUCUGACAAGUUAUGCUGAGAUCUUUUUAACUUUGGGGACUUCAGCUAAGGCUGGUAUUACCACACCUGUUGAUCCAACAGGUACCGUGUAAGAGAUGAGAUAUUAAAGUGUGCUUAUUUCAAAGACAGCCUGUAAAUAGAGACCUAUAUUAUUAUUUUUCAUCAACACCUCUCUAGUCCUGGAGUUGUUAAUUUGUGGACCUGCUGCCUCAUGUGUAUGUAGCCCCAAGUUUAUCAGACUCCCUUUCCAGACUUGUACUUCUCCCUCUCAAUUCCAAUCCAACCAAUCAACAUUUAUUAGUACCUACUGAAUACAAGGCACUCCUUGGCUAAGUGCCAGGGAUACAAUUAACAAAAAGAAAAACAAUUCCUGUCCUCAAGGAGCUUACAAUCUAAUGGGAGAAGAAAACACUAAAAAGGAGGCAGGCAAUGAGAGGAAGGAGGAAGAGAGUAUCUGGCUCUAUAAAGUUGAAACCAGGCAGAGGAGCAAAUGCAGAGUGAGUUCAAAGGUCCAGUUUCUACCCUCUAUAAAGGAAGGCACUGGGAGGAAUUUGCUGCUCUCCAAUCCUCUAAUCAGAGGGGAGGCAAGAAGUCAAGUCUUGACUUAGCAGCAUGGUGAUGACAGUAGAUGGGGAUGAGCUUAACCUGGAAGGGACAUCUUGUCCCUAUGAUCCAAGAUUAGUAUAUUAGGCAAGGCAAGCUAAUAUGGGCAGAUUUCUAGUGGUCUUAACCAUCACCAUAGUUCCAAGGGGAAAAAAAAAAGAUCUCUUAUUCCCCAUUUCUUCCCUCUCAACAUCUCAGGAACAGGUAGUACUCCUGGUAUUUCCUAUCAUUAGAACUUCCCCCUAAGUCCUUCUGAGCCCCAGCGAUUUACCACCCCAAUCUUAGCAAUGUUCCUGGGAGGCCCCAGCCAGUGCAAAUCCCUGAUGUGGACUCACAUAUCUUUGGCAUUAUGGCAUAAAGCCUACAUCCUUUUGAGGGAGGCAGCUGCCUAGGACCUGCAGAGAAAGGGCAUUCCAGACCCUGUCUAAUGAAGAGAUUAGGAAAGACCUUGUCACCCACCAACUACCAUGUCUCUCUCCAGAUCCAAAGCUUUUCUUUCUGCAGUUAUCCAGAAAGGUCUUCCUAGUGAAAUCCUCUCUUCCCCUACCUUGGUUCUCCCACAUAGAUUUCCAUUUGCUAAGACUGCAAAAGGAAGCUUGCCCUCUGAUCUAUGAUGGAUGACUUACCCUUGAGCUCUAAGCCUGUGCCUUUCAUUCAUUACCCCUCCCCUUCAAGCCCAGCUUCCAAAUUACUGGAAUGGUCACUGCCCAGUAAGGCCCAAGGUCCCUUCUAAAGUUGCCUGGCAAAGAGCCACCUCAUCAUGACUUAGCGCCUGAAAGGACAGCAUGUACCCUGUCUGAAGGUUGCCUUCUUAGAGGCUGGAUCAGCUGUACUUUCAUGUUUGAAGGGACUGGCCCUAGUCCAGUUUGGGCCAGGCCCCUUUUAAAUCACCAAUCAUUCAACAAGCAUUUUAUUAGGCUUUUAUUCUGUGCAUUGUGCUAAUUCAUCACCAAAUAUUUGCCAAGUGCCUACUCUAGUAAACUUGGGGAUAUAUGAAAAAGGGGAAAUGGUCCCUGCCCUGAAAGAGUUUAUAUUCUAAUUUUUUUCUUUCUUUUUCUUUUUUAAUUUUUAUCAUUAUAUUUUCCUUCUUUAUCACCAAAUUUUUCCAAUACCUCUUUCCUCUUUGUCCCUGAGGACCAUCCAAUACAACAAAUUAUAUAUAUUUAUUUAAAUUUAUUUAAUUUAUAUUUAUUUAAUUUUAAUAUUUAAAAUCCUUAACUCCCAUCUUAGAAUCAAUACUGUGUAUUGGUUCAAAAGCAGAAGAGCAGUAAGGGCUAAGCAUAGGGGUUAAAUGAUUUGCCCUGGGUCACAUAGCUAGGAAGUGUCUGAGGCCAGAUUUGAACCUAGGAGUUCCAGUCUCGGCUCUCAAUCCACUGAGCCACCCCGCUGCCCCUAACAAAUAAUAUUUUUAAAGAAAUAGAAGGGAGGAAAUUAGCAAAACUGAUCAAUAAUCAAUAAAGUCUGAAAAUAUGUGCAAUAUAUCUUCCACUGUGAAAUGUGCCCAUGUACCUUCCACUGCAGCAAUGAAUGGAGUGGGGAGGAUGCUUCUCAAAUCUCCUCUUUUUUGGUGGGGAUUCUUGUUCAGGCAGGGAAUGAACCAGAUGGCCUCUGAGUGCCUUCCAGCUCUGCCUCUAGGACUGUAAAAGGGACAUAUUAAACAGGAUGCGCUUACGGGCUAAAUCACUCCUGUGACUAGAGCCAGAAGGCAGUCAUUUCUCCAUGAGUUUGAAGAGCUCAUGCCCUCUGCCCAAUCAUGCAUGAGGCUUUCUAGUUUAGUUGCCAUCUUCAUCUUUUGAAAUAUCUUAUUAAUAACAAUGAUAACAAUAUUUUAAGCUCAGAUUUGUCUGUUUUGUUAAGUGAUUACAUAUGGUAUCUCAGAACAGACACCAUAAAGCAUUUAUUAAGCAUCUCUCCUAUUCAGAGAACUAUGCUAAGCCCUAGGAAAGGCAGAACUGGGGAUGCUCAGCCUGCAGAAGAGAAGACCAGAGGGACAUAAUAACUACCUUCACAUAUUUGAAAGGCUGCCAUGGCGAAGGAGGAUCAGACUCGUGUUUGGUUCCAGAGUAAAGAACUAAUUAAGAACAGUGGGUUGGAAAAGUUACAGGCAUAAAUUUAAGCAAGAAGGAAUUCUUUUUCAGGUGUAGGUUUAACUAGAUUCUCUUGAGGUACCCUCCAAACCUGAGACUGUAUGAGAUACAAAAGAAACAUUUUUGUUGUUGUCUAGUUAUUUCAGUCACAUCUGACUCUUUGUGACCCCAUUUGGGGUUUUCUUGGUAAAGACACUGGAGUAAUUUGCCAUUUCCUUCUCUGGCUCAUUUUACAGAUGAGGAAACUGAGGCAAACAGGGUUAAGAGACUUGACCAAAGUCACACAGCUAGUAUAGAAGUCUCCCCCCCCCAAAAAAAAACAGGCAACAAGAUGUUCCUGGAAAAAAGAUGACCUCAUUUGGAGUGGGGGGGGGGGACUGUUUCUGGUGCUUACAGAAAGUCACAGAUCUUCCUUUUAAGGACUAUUCUAAUUAUAAUUCCAGCUACCUGGGAACAAAAGAUUUCUCUGCCAUUGGCCAACAUUUCCAGGAUUAUUUUACACUCUGUGGCAUUUCCCAUCCUACAGAAAGCAUCAAAGCAUUUAGUAAGCCGAUUGUCUCCAUUUCUCUAUAGCUGCAUAAGGAUCCAUGUAUACAAAGAAACACAAACAUUCAUGGGAUUGGUGCCAGCUAAACAGAAGAAAGUACCAUGGUCCAUAUGCAUAGAAGCAAAUUAUAUAGUUAACAGGUUGACUAAAGGGGGAUUUUGAAUUGAAUCCAGUUUCACCCACCCCUACCAUUUAUUAUUAUCUUAUUCUUACCAGUUCUUUCUAGAUUUAUUGGGGAGAUGGCCUAAAGAGUCCACAGAUCAGCUGUCAUCUAAUAUGACUCCAGAUGAUCUUUUGUACAUACCAACUAUUUCCAGGCAUUGGAAAAUUUAAGAUCAAACAUAAAAAACUUGAACUUCCUGGUUUCUUGUCCAAGUCUCGGGUGCUUCCUGAAAAGUGACCACCACAAGUAUCCUUAAGUACCUUUUUUAAACCUUUCAGUCUUAGAAUCAAUAUUAAUUAUCAUUUCCAAGGCAGAAGAACAGUAAGAGCUAGACAAACUGGGUUUAAGUGACUUGCCUAGGGUCACAAAGAUAGCAAGUGAUUGACCUCAGAUUUGAACACAGGUCCUCCUAACUCCAAGCCUGGUUCUUUGUUCACUAAGCCACCUAACUGCCCCUACCCUUAGGUACCUUUAACUAAGAAUGUUUCAGAUACUUUAUCAUUAAAAUCCACUUUUUCCAAAGCCAAAGGGAAUGUGGAAAUAUAAUGCCAUCAAGGGCUUAGGAAAAUUUGUAGACAUUAGUUAAGGCUAUAGCUUUGUGUCACAUCAACUGUAUUGACAUUAGGCAUCUGGAGUGAUUUUUAAAAAAAUAAAUAUAUUACCUGAGAAUGCCGUCCUUUCUUCUUUCUGCCCUAACCUCUACCAUCAUGUCUGUCUGUCUGUCUGUCUCUCUCCCUCUCUCUCUCCAUCUGUCUGUGUCUUUAUCUACUUCUAUAUAUAUAUAUCAUAUAUACUACAUAUAUAUGUGUAUCUAUAGACACACACACAUAUGCAAAAUCAAUAAAAAAGCAUUGUAUUGGUCCUGAGGACACAAUCUGCUUUCAAGGAGAUCAAACAAUGGAAAAGACCCAAGUCUAUUAAGUGCAAAAGAGACAUCUGAGCAAAGGGUUAAAGAAAUUUGAGGAAAAUAAUCAUUUUCAGUUGGGGUUUUGGAGAAUGUUUCCUGGAGGGGGAAGCAACUGAAUUGAGCCAUGAAGGAAAAGAAAAAGGAUAAGGAAAAGAUGAAUGAGGGCAGGAAGAGAAUGAGAGGGGAAAAGAGAAAGGAGUAAGUAUAUAGUUAUCUACUAUUUGCCAGACACCUGUACUAAGUGUAUUAUAUUUAUUAUCUCAUUUGAUCCCCAAGCCAACCCUGUGGGGCAGCUGCUAUUAUUAUCACCCCCAUUUUAUAGUUGGGGAAAUCAAGGCAAAUAGAGAUUAAGAGACUUGCCCAAGUGUAAGAAAUAAAGAAACCUCUGGGCUAUAAUUCUGAGCUGAAAACUGAUUUCAUUCAUGGGUAAAUAGAGUCAGUGGGUCAUCACCAAUCCCAGUCUAUGAUGAAAGACACAUUGUGUAUAUUCACAGUUCUUUUUACAGGAUUUUGACAGUUGGUACAAAUCACUGAUUAACAAAACCCACAUAUUCAGUUGAUAAAUUCUAAUACAAGGUCCAAGCACUUUAUUGUGUCACUACAAUCUUCAGACAAUAUUUUAGGAAAAAGACUUAUUGAUAUUAUAACAGACAAUAACUCACAAGGAGUAAUUUAGAUACAUAAAGUUGUCUCUGACUGCUAAAAUCUGAGGACCCUUCCAUUGACGUAGAGUCCUAGAAAAGUGCAUACUGGGCCUGCUUUUACAGCUGACUCUAGGAUUGCUUCUGUUAUCUUUAUUCAGAGACAGGAGAUAGGGAAGAUGUGUACUUAACAUAAGAAACCCUUAAGCUAGCUCAUCCUUUUCUAUCAGAGUUAAUUAACAACUUGGACUAGACUUUCUAGCUUUCUAGUUACAUAUAUUACUUAAACAGUUAUCAAGGAUGAAUUAGUUUCAUAUGAAAGACAGGAAUAUUGAAAUGCAGGAAACAGUGAUGUGUGGCAGAGUCAGAAAAGGCAGAUUUGGCUUGGAGGGCAAGGGGCAGAAUGCAGGAGGAGAAUUUAGAAUUCUGUGGGAGUGUUCUGGGACAGUUAACAGACAACCAGAAGGAGGGAAGGGGAGACAGGGAGACAGGGAGAGAGGAGAGAAAGGAGAAGGAGAAAGGAGAGAGGGAGAGAGGAGAGAGGAGAGGGAGAGGGAGAGAGGAGAGGGAGAGGGAGAGAGAAGAAAAGAGGGAGAGGAGAGAGAGAGAGAGAGAGAGAGAGAGAGAGAGAGAGAACUGAGACUGUCAUAGCAGUUGGAUUUAGAUCUCUCUCUAAUCCAGAUCUCUAAUCUCCUAUUAUUUGGAUCCUGCAUCCCUGUGAGCUCCAGCCAGCAAUCCCUUCAUCCUUAGAGACAUCUUUGAACUCCUGUGAAGACUGCACUUAUCAUCUUGACUACUUCAGUCUGCUCAUGUACCUCUGCUAACAUCAACCUGAACUUUUGGUGACUUGACCAGCCUGGCCACUAGUUUCCUUAUCCAACUACUAGAUUUGAACUUCAUCAAAGACUUUUUGUUGGUGGGUACAGACUAGGCAGUUAGAUAGGACUAUUGGGAAAGAGACAGAGAGGAAGAUAGAGUAGCUCCAGCUCUGCUGGAGACUGAAGAAAGCCUUGGGGGUCAGAGGGAUCUGGAACAGGUAGAUUUUAAAAUCUAUGGGGAAAAUCCUAGCCCACCAUCCGUCCCCAAAAUCCUAAUUAUCAUCUUUAAUAAACAAACUGUUGUUAAGAGAAGAAGUCAGAUUGUGUUUAUUAGAGCUCCAGGCCUGAAGAUAGCCAGCUUGCUAGAAAAUAUCUGAGGCUACAUUUGAACUCACGUCUUCCUGACCAGACCACACACUCCGUUCCCUGAGAGCUGAGGAGUAAGGAGGCUAAGCAUGCUUUGCCAGAACAUGGAUUCCAUGAAAGGCAGCCUGGCACUGUAGAGAGAGUGCUAACUAUAGAGACUUGGGUUAAAAUCCCUUCUCUGACACCUACUCAUUAGUCAUGAGACCCUGAAUCAGACCCUUAAUCUUUCUGAGCCUCAAUGUUUGAUGAAAUGGAAGAGAUUUCACUAGAUGUCCUCCAAGGUCUCUUCCAACGCUAAAUCUAUGAACCCAUCAUACUACGGACAGGAAUAGUAUGAGAUUAGAUUGUUUUCUCAUAGUAACACAAGACUAUUUCCCAGCUCCAAAUGUUUACAAUGGGUGUAACCCAUGCCUAGGAGUCUAUCUCUCCUUAUCUCUCCAUCCUGCCUUCCCCAGCUUCCUUCAAGUCUCAGAUAGUCCCACUUUCUAUAAAAAACUUUCCUCAGAUCUCUUCCACAAAAUGACUUAAUACGGAAAAAUGUUUUACAUGAUUGCCCAUGUAAAAUCUAUAUCAGAUUGCUUACUUUCACGCAGGGGGUGGGGGGUGGAAGGAAGGAGGGAGGGUAGAAAGGAAGGAGAGAAUUUGGAACUCAAAAUUUUAAAGAAAAUAAAUGCCAAAAAAUUUAUGUGUAAUUUGGGGAAAUAAAAUAUUUUUUAAAAAGGAAACCUUUCUCACUUUCCCUUAAUUUUACAAAUAAUAAUAGAAUGCUAUAUGACUAUAAUAUUAUACUAUCAUAAAUAAUAAUAAAUAAUUUUAUCAUAAAUAAUAAUUAGCUUAUUCCCUCUCAGCGAAUCUCCAAUUUAUCCUGUCUGCUUCUUGUUUGUAUGUAGCUGUUUGCAUGCUAUAUCUCUAUAGCGUUGUGAGCUCCUUGACUGUUUUUUGGCCUUUCUUUGUAGCUCCAGAACUUAACACUGUACCUGGCACAUAGUAGAGACUCAGUAAAAGCUGGUUGAUUGUGUGACUAAAGGUAAUCAGAGUCAGAUUGUGGAGGGCUUUGAAUGUUAGGAUCAGGUUUAUGUUCUACAGGGAAGGUGGAAUUGUUAACAUUUUUUUGAGCAGAGGAGAAACAUGAUCAAAGUGGUAAAUGAGCAAUAUUUUUUUUUUGUCAUUUCUCUAGCUACUUAGGCCUACGACUCUGCUUUGUUCACUGGGAUGGAAUGGGUGAUAUAUAUUACAUUAGUUUCUAUUAGGAUCCAAGCCAUUGACAGAGUGAGACCCUUGAUAAAUGUUUCUUAUAAUAGUCAAUGUAAAUGUCCAUUAGGGCAUAAGAAGCACUUACAGUCUUUGAGAGUCCAUGGACAAAUUUUGGCUGAAAAGCCAGAGUUGCCAUGGUAUAUGCUACUUAAGUUUUUAAUUUUAAUCUGAUCAUUCCAAGUAACUAAUGCCAUUGGGCAUCCCCUCUGGAUAGCUCAUAAGGGGAUUUAGUCUUACUGCACAACCCUCCUGCCUUCUGACACAGGCUUAGCACACAAAUCGACAUGCCUCCCUGUCCAGGAGCUGAGAGAAACCAAGCCAGAGCUAAAGGAAUUCGGGCAGUAGGCCAAAAAAGAAAUUUGGUAAGUGAAACUCCCAAUUUCUUUUUAAUAGCAAAUAGUCAUUUCUGUUAAGGUGGAGCAGGAGAAUGGGAGGAGGAGUGAAUCCUCCUAUCUUUUUCCAUUGUUUAUAUGACCGAAGCAAACUGAAAAGUUUGACAAUUAACAGGAUGAUUCUGGUCCCAAACCUGAUUUAAAAAAAAAAAAAAAACCACAAGGAUUUGUUUGGCCCAAAUGAUCCCAAUUAAAUGAUUCCAAUGCAUAGAUUUAUCCAGAUCAUUUUUCAGCCUUUCAUUCCACUUUGUCUAUGGAGAGACAGACAAAAACGGAAUGACACGGGAAACCAAAGGAAGGAAGGAAUGACUUCUACUAAAGGAAAGAAAGGGCAGAAUCAUGGGAAAGGGCAAUACAAAUUUUGAGGGGGCAAUAACAACCAAUAGGUAGUAACCAUGUAAGGGUUUUUUUUUUUUUUUAACCUGUCUAUAGGGAUAACCUUAAACUCAAAGUUCCUCUGGGAAAAGUACUGACCCAUUUCACAGAUUAAAAAUCAGGUCCAAGGAAGCUAAGAAAAAUGCUUAAAGAUAGACAACAAAUAAAUGCAAGCAUUCUCAGUCUUGUUCAGAGGUUUUACUCAUUAGAUUUCUGUCACUUUGCAAUAUUUUCACCCAUUUAAGCAUUUGUAUCCACAAUUUUAUCAGAGCCUUUAUGAUAACUGAAGCUAUCACUGUGGCGAAUAUUACGAAUUCAGUUUUCAACACAAAAUAGCAGCAGGCUGUUAUCCAAAAGACUCUCAGAAUAGCAGGUCAGUGAAUACAGAGGGUAAAAUAGGGUGCUGUGUUUACUGUUUGGAGACUGAACAUUUACCGCAGAGCAGCUGAUUUCACAAAUUCCAGGGUCAGGCAUGUUUUAGUUUGGGGAUGGGGGUUGGGGUAGGGUGAGAUGACACUGAGUAAGCGUGUGAAAACAUGAGAUUAGACAAUCAACAACAAGGAAGUUAGUCAAGUCAGCACCCAAAAAUUGUUCACAAGAACAGCUGCAAUCCAGAAAUAUUUAGAAGCCAAUCUAUCUGGGGGUGGGUUAUACCCAGUGGGAGGGUAUUUGCAGCUUAUUCUAUUCAUUAUCUCACUCCAGCAACAGGAGAUUAGAAAUAUGGUGGUGAUUUAGGCUUUCAUCAUUUUUUGUUUAGGGAGCCUGGCUCUAAAUCUGAAAGGGACCUUAGAGGUCAUCUAGUCCAGUCCUCUCCACUUGGAGAUGAGGAAAUAGAUCCAAAGAGGUCAGGCAGAUAGCAAGUCCCAAAGUCUACACCUGAACCAUUCAAGUUCCCUUCUCCUUACACUGCACUCUUUUUUUUUUAAUAAUUUUUUAUUUGAUCAUUUCCAAGCAUUAUUCAUUAGAGACAAAGAUCAUUUUCUCCCCCCCCCCACCCAUAGCCGACACGUGAUUCCACUGGGUUUCACAUGUGUUCUUGAUUCGAACCCAUUUCCAUGUUGUUGGUAUUUGCACUAGAGUGUUCAUUUAGAGUCUCUCCUCAGUCAUUUCCCCUCAGCCCCUGUAGUCAAGCAGUUGCUUUUCAUCGAUGUUUUUACUCCCACAGUUUAUCCUCUGCUUGUGGAUAGUGUUUUUUAGAUCCCUGCAAGUUGUUCUGGGAUAUUGCAUUGACCCUAAUGGAGAAGUCCAUUACGUUCGAUUGUACCACAGUGCAUCAGUCUCUGUGUACAAUGUUUUCCUGGUUCUGCUCCUUUUGCUCUUCAUCACUUCCUGGAGGUUGAUCCAGUCUCCAUGGAAUUCUUCCACUUUAUUAUUCCUUUUAGCACAAUAGUAUUCCAUCACCAACAUAUACCACAAUUUGUUCAGCCAUUCCCCAAUUGAAGGGCAUCCCCUCAUUUUCCAAUUUUUGGCCACCACAAAGAGUGCAGCUAUGAAUAUUCUUGUACCACUGCAUUCUUUAAAAGAACAGCAAUAUGUGAUCAAUAAUUAUAUGGAAAAUGUUCUAAAUCCCUCUUGAUUAGAGAAAUGCAAAUUAAAACAACUCUGGGGUACUAUCUCACAUCUAUCGGGUUGGCCAAUAUUAUAGAAAAGUAAUAAAUGUUGGAGGGGAUGUGGCAAAAAUUGAGAUAUUAAUGUAUUGCUGGUAGAGUUGGGAAUUGAUCCAACCAUUCUGGAUGGCAAUUUGGAUAUGCCCAAAGGACUACAAAAGAAUGCAUACCUUUUGAUCUAGCAAUACCACUACUAGGUCUGUAUUCCACAGAGGUUUUUUUUUUUUAAAUGGGAAAGGACCUGUUUGUAGAAAAAAUAUUUAUAGCUGUUCUUUGUGGUGGUAACAAAUUAGAAACUGAGGUGAAGUCCCUCAUUUGGGGAAUGGCUGAACACAUUGUGGUCUAUGAUGGUGAUGGAAUACUAUUGGGCCAUAAGGAAUGAUGAACAGGAGGAUUUCAGAAUUCCUUCAGGAAUUGAUGCAGAGUGAAAUAAGCAGAACCAAUAAAACAUUGUAUACAGUAACAACAAUAUUUAGAACAAUCAAAUGUGAUAGACUUUGCUACUAACAACAAUACAAUGAUCCAGGACAAUUCUGAGAGACUUAUAAAAAAGAGUGCUAUCCACCUCCAGAGAAAGAACUAUUAGAGUAGAAAUGCAGAUGAAAACGUAAGAUUUAUCACUUUUUUAUUUGAGUAUAUGCUUUGGGGUUUUGGCUUUUUAAGAUUAUUCACUUCCAAAAUGGAUAACAUAGAAAUGUGUUUUGUGUAGUAAUACAUGUAUAACCAAGAUUGAAUUGCUUGUGGCUCCAAGAAUCUAUUGCAUGCACAGCAGCCACACCCAAUGAUAUCCUGGGUCCUCUUUGAAAAAGAAAGGAUAAUCAGUGAUAGCAACAACUAUAUGUGAAGCACUGUGCUUGGAAUAUUUUGGAAAGGGAAUUAAUGAUAAUUAAUGCAGUAAUUAACAAUUGUAACAUAUUUUAUUUUAUACUUUAAUAUAUGUUAUUUCAUUUUAUCAUCACAAUAAACCUAUGAGGAACAGUAACUAUUUUAUGAUCAUUUUACAGAUGAGAACACUGAAGUCCAAGGUGGUUAAAUGAUUUGCCCAAAGUCACACAUAUACUAACUCCAUUUCUAUAAAUAUUUAUCAAAUGUGAACUAAGUACAAGGACUGGACUGGGAAUACAAGGUUCAAACAAAUUAAUAUCUGCCCUCAAAGGGCUUAUAGUUGAUUAGGAACCCACAUCUUUCCACUGUACAACAUUACUUCUCUUCUUCCAUCAAAAUCUGACAAAUUACUGAUCAAAAGCAAUUAGCAAACAUUUAUGAAAGGGACAGAUAGGUGGCUCAUUAGAUAGAUAUCUAGGUCUGGAGAUGGGAGGUCUUGGGUUCAAAUUUGACUUCAGGCACUUCCUAGCUGUGCAACCCUGGGCAAAUCACUUAACUCUAACUGCCUAGUCCUUACUUCUGCCUAGGAACCAAUACUUGCUAUCAAUUCUAAGGCAGAAUGUAAGGGUUUAAAAAUUUUUAUGAAAUGCCUACUAUGUGCCAAAGACUAUUAAGUGUUGGGGAUACAAAAAGAGGCAAAAGAUUGUGCCUUCCCUUAAAAUGUUUAUAAUCUCAUGGGAGAAACAACAUGUAAACAAACCAGCCAUUGUUAUUGUUUAGUCAUUUCAGUCAUGUCUGAUUCUUUGUGACUCCAUUUGGGGUUUUUCUUGGCAAAGAUACUGGAGUAGUUUACCAUUUUCUUCUUUAGCUCAUUUUACAGAGGCAGAAACUGAGGUAAACAGGGUUACGUGAAUUGCCCAGGGUCGCACAGCUAGCAAGUAUCUGAGGUCAGAUUUGAACUCAGGAAGAUGUCUUUCCGAGUCCAGGCCUUGCUUUGCAUUUUAUAUCACCAGCAGCCCCAUAACAAGCUAUCGAUGAGAUAAAUGGGAAAUAAUUAUCAGAGGGAAAUCACUAGACUUAAGAGAGGUUCAUACAGUCUUCUUGUAAAAGAAGUUACUACAACAACUGCAAUGAUGAUGAUAAUGGCCACCACCAGGAGUCAUACAUUUAUUCAAUGCAGUACUGUUUUUCAAAUUUUAGCCCCAUAACAAUCCCGUGAGGUAGCACGAGCAUCAUUACACUCCUAUUAGCAAAUUAACCUUAAGUAAUCUACUAGGCAAAAACAAAUUUGUGAAAGCCAAGUGGGAUACAGAUCAUCCCAGAGGAUGGCAAUCCCAAGGAGAAUGCCCUCAAAAGGGAAAUGUCUGCAUGGGGAGCUAUAUUUAUAGCUUUGGUAUCAGAAGCCAAAGCCCCGCCUGUUUUAGGCAGAAAUUAGAUUAAGGAGCUAAAUUUAGACUAGACUGGAGUUAACCAGAUCAUUGGUUUCUCUAAAGAGCUGUGUGCCUCCCUGUGUGUGUGUGUGUGUGUGUGUGAGAGAGAGAGAGAGAGAGAGAGAGAGAGAGAGAGAGAGAUGAGACCAGGAGCUGCUAUGGCAACUCAAUAAGGUCUAGUUAAAAAUAAAAGAUCUGGAAAGAGGGAAUCUUCUCUGAAUUUAUUUUUUAAAAGAAGUAUAGAAUUUUAAAAAAUAAAUUACAACAAUCUACUUUCAAGUCAUAUGCAUAUUAUAUCAGCUAGUGGAAAGUCGCAAAUAAAACGGGCAAAUUAACUUGUAUGAUAUUUUAUAAACAUUCAAAUUUUGAUUUAUAUACAACCUAUUUUGAACAUUUUGCUCAAAAGUAAUCCUUAGAAAUAUUUUAAAUUCUAAUUUGGUAGGAUCUGAAUUGAUGAGUCUUAAUUUUAUUAAAUGAAGCUGCUCUCCUCUUCCCUUCUCUCCCUCCCUUAAACAGUUGGUCAAGUUUUAUUUAACCAGCUGCCCAUGUUGAAAGCAUAGACUAGGCAGUCUUCUCAGAAUCAUUAAAUGGCUGUGAAAUUAAAGGGAACCCAGGGUACUCUGGAAAUAACAGAAAAGAUAAGAGAGAUAGAAGAUAGAAGUUACCAUGCAUUAUGAAGAGAAGGUAGUAUAUGAUUUAAGAAAUAUUAAAAAGCCAAAUCAUAGACAUGAAGAACUUUUUAUUUUUGAUUCGAAGACAUCUGCCUAGAAUUGGUUUCUCUGGGUCAAAGGGUAUAAAUAUUUAGUCACUUAAAAAAAAGUGCAUAAUUCCAAAUUGUUUUACAGAAUGGUCAGAUAAGUUCCACCAACUGUAUGUCUUGAUUUCUUCUGCACAAGUCACCAUUUUUUCUUCAUGCUUUCUUCAUCCCACUUCUUUUAAUCAAUAAAGUAUGAGAAUACUUCCUCGUCUUGGUACCUUCCCUUCCAUUAGAUAUCUUUUAAAUCAGUCCUUCAGUGUCUUCACAGUUUUAUCAUUUAUAGUGUGCAUGUUUUCCUCCCUGCCUCCUUGAAUGUGUCUUUAUCUGUGUGUAUAAAAGUAGACACAGCCAUAGAAUUUGUUUGUGGGUAUAUAGUCAUAUGUGUACACACACACACACACAUACAUGAUCCUCUCCAGCUGCUUUUUCUAUCUUUGUUCUCUUUAGUGCUAUUUGUCUAUCCUCUGUAAGAAUUCAGAGUUGGGGAUGUUAGGGUUCAACACCUUAAAGGUUUCAGUAGGAAAGAAGCAGGUUUUAAAGAAAGAUGUUCCUUAUUUAUUUUAAACUCUUUUCUUCUGUCUUAGAAUCAAUAGUGUAUAUUGGUUCCAAGGCAGAAGAGUGGGAAGGGCUAGGCAAUUCUGGGGGAGGGAGGUAAAUGACUUCCCCAGGGUCACACAGCUAGGAAAACUGUCUGAUUUGUCAAAUUUGUCAAAGUGAUUUGUCAGAAGUGUCAAAUUUGCACCAAGGACCUCUCCGUGCUCUCAAUGCACUAAGCCACAUAACUGCCUCCCAAAAUGUUUCUAUCACACAAUUGAAUGAUAGAUAUUAAGAAUAUAAGAUUCCCUUCUUUAUCUUCUUUAUUGUUUUUAAAACACACAUACACAGAACUUGGUAGAACAAAACAUCACCUUACAGCUUCUUAUAACAAGGUGUCUCCAAAUCAAAUCAUCAGAUCAUUCAACAUUCCUUGGGGGAUGAAACAAUAGAAAUAACUAUUCAACGACUUUGAUCAGAACAGGUAAGCAUAGAACAGGGAUGUAUUUGCUGCAAUGAUGGAGAUUUAGAGCAGAGUUUAGGUUAAAGAAAAAGAAUUCCUUCCAAAUGGAAAGUGCUCCAGAUAUUCCAGUUUCUAUAUGACAUUGUAUUAAUUACAAUCCAAUCCCCAAACAUUCCAGAACCUCUUUGAAGAGAUUUGUAAUCAUACAAAUGAGUUUGGCCUGUUCCAGUGGAAAACUCCAAUGAAGACUCUCUAUGGCCCAGAUUUCAGUGUUCAUCUGAACAGACAUUCUACAGAGGCUGUUCAAUAAUAGACACAGUUAUAGAUAUAGAUAGCUAUAGAUGUAUAUACAGGGUGUCCCAAAAGCCACAGUCCAAUUUUAAGCUUUAUUAAUUUUAGAAAUAUAGGUGCUAUGGGUUUAUUUUUUAAAAUCAUAUCAUCAUCUAAAGGUUACUCAAAUUUCUUUUAUACUUAAUUAGUUUUGUGAACUUUGAAUAAUGAUUUAAUUCUUUGAAGGACCUUUUCUUGGACCAAGUGGAUGAAUAGAGAAGAUCCUCUUGCUUACCUGUUUUAUCUUUUCUUGUGAGUUCACAUUAAAACUAUCUUGUAUGCAUUAAAAACAUCAUUCCUUGGGUGAUCAUAAGGCCAAGAUUACAAAUGCAAUCCUUUCAGUCACUGAUGAGCAACAAUUGAUGUGGCAACCAAUUAAAGUUUUUGGAAAGUCUGAAAAUGGACUAUCGAAAUGCCUAGUACAAGACAAUGGUUACACUGUUAAGAAGCAUAGGCAUUUUAAAUACACAUAUUUUUAAAUACACAUAUUUUCAAAUGUCUUUUGUAAGUUUGUAGCAUUUUACUUCUGGAGUUAUUAAAGUUUAAAGCUGCACUAAGACUUUUGGGAUACACCAUAUAUACAUAUAUGUGCUUAUCUGGGGCAGACAAGAAUCUAGAAAAUGACCUGGACUCAGAGUUGAAAAGGAGAAGAGUGCUUUUGGAGAAUGGCAAAGUACUUGUACUGACCGACCACAUGCUUGCUGCAACAGCAAAAGUCCAUCUUUUGAAUAUGAACAUUUUAUCAGCAUUGCUGUAUAAAAUUGAGAUCUGGAGUACCACCGCCUCAGAAGAACUGAAGAACUCAGCAUACAGAGGACAAUAGCAAUAUCUAUAUAACCAGCAGGGAUUUUUAAAGAAUUUAAAGAGUGAAGGAUGGCCACAAAGAACUGAAUAGACUAAUUAAAAUUUUCAAAAACAAAAACAAAAAAAGAAGUGAAUAACAGAAAGAGGAAAUAGCUCACAUGGGAGAAAUGACAGAUGGUCAGAGUACACUGGUACCCUUUGGACUAGGGUCAUCCUGGAUGGGCAUGCACAAAUGGAUUGCAAUCUGCGCUGUGGGAGGGAACUUCCAUAUCAAUGAGGUCAGAGGGCCAUUUGAAUUUCUAAGUCUUUCUGCAACUUCAACAUGGACUAUUUCCUUUUUUUUUUAAUGUAUCAGCAAAAUUAUUUUAUGUUAUGUUGUUCUUUUUUUAAGCUAUGAAAAUAUUUGUUCUAUUGUCUUGUCCACGUUCAUUUAAAAUAUGCACAUUGUUCAGUGUUUCUUUUGGUGUUUUAGUGUAUCAAAUGAUUAAUAAGAUUUAUUAAGUAUUUACUAUUUGUGGGCACUGGGUUAAGAGCUAGGAUACGAAGAAAUAAAACAUAAACCAACAUGGACUAUUUUCAUCUUAUGUCGUCUUUGAGAAUUUCUUGCUGCUAUUUAUACUAUUUGUGGAUGAGGAAACUGUGACUUGUAAGUUUGUUUCUUGUCAUAACAAGAAAAUGGCAGGGCUAGGAUCUGAACCUAGGUCUCCUGACUCCUACAGGAACCAUUUUGUUCCUUAAACUAUAACUAUUACUUCCCCUACAAUAUCUUUAACUCAUUCUCAUGCCCUUCUCAAGUGACCUUCUGAUCUGGAGGACAAAAAUUCAAGCCUGAAGUAUUAGAGUUAAAUGACAAUGGAAAGUGAAUAUUAUUUAUAUGUGUGUUUGAAUGGCAUUAGGAAUAUUUGUGAUGGCAUCACAGAAUUUGUAAUGGCGUUACAGAAUAUUUGCAAGUUUUUUUUUUUUUAGACUAUCUCCCUCUGCCAGGCAUCUGUAUUUCUUUGGAUUACCCAGGGGUCCCCCCUGUGGAGCUGCCUUUUUCUUCCACCAUUGGGCUUUGUCACAUAUUCUAGACCAAUUUGCAAAUUAUUUAUGAAUUUGGGAUGAAGUUGUAUAAUUAUUACAAGAGGUCUGAAAAUCCAUGUGUGACACUAAUAUUCAGCCUUGACAUUUUGAUCAUUUUUCAGCAAAUGUAUUGUUGGUAGCCUGAAUAAAUAAUAGGUGACACAGUUUUAAAUGUCAUAGUAUAUAAAAUACAAAUCUGUCUGAGAGCAUUUAAGUUCAUAAUGGCUUCAUCAUUAUGUGCUUGUAAUGAAGCAGAAAGUAUCAGGAAGAGCUGUUGUUGUUCAAUCAUUCUCAGUUGUGUCCAACUCUUUAUAACCCCAUCUGAGGUUUUCUUGGUGAAGAUACUGGAGGGGUUUGCCAUUUCCUUCUCCAGCUCAUUUUACAAAUGAGGAAACUGAGGCAAACAGUUAAAUGAUUUGCCCCAGGUCACACAACUAAUCAAUUUCUGAGGUCGAAUUUGAACUCAGGGAGAUGAAUCUUUCUGACUCUGGGCUGGAUGCUGUCUCCAUUAAAACCACCUACCUGCCCUUAAAAAGAGACCUAGGUUUAAACCUUGACUCUGAGCCUCAGUUUCUUCAUCUGUACAAUGAAGAUAAUUAAUCACCAAGUAUUUAUUAACCACUUAGGAUGUGCAGAGUGUUUGGGAUACAAGACCAAAAAUGAAACAUCCCAAUCCUCAAAGAGUUUUCCAUCAAGGAUAUCCUAAUGGGGAGAAAGCAACAUAUACACAUAUAAGCAAAUACAAAUAUAUAUAUACAAAUUAAUUUAGAAAUGGGCACUAGAAUCAGGAGCAAUCAGGAAAGGCCUCCUGUAGGGGAUGGCACUUGAUAAAAACACUUGAAGUAAUUACUUUAGUGGGUUAUUGUAAAAAUUCAAUGAACUGAUGGAACUAUUUUUACUGGCACCUCUCUGCUUUAUCGAUAUUUAUAUACUCAUUUAAUCUAUUUGAUUCAAUCUAAGCAGGACGGAAGGGCCCUCAGGGGAGGGUUCAUUUGAUUUUUGGUGGGGUCUUUUCCCCUAGUAGUACUUUGCUCCUAAUAGGUACUUUCUGGUUGUGCAUUCCUCAAAGGCAUCAACCUGAUCCUGCAUCUGGUUCAUUUAUCACCAAGCAUGGCAUUCUGAGCUGAGCAGCCACUCAAUAAAGGCUCAUUGCGAUUGCCCAAUUUGAUAAAAACUCAUUUACCUUCAAGAAGAAGUCUAGUACAGUGGAAAGCAGAAUCCUUGUGUCUCCCACUUACUAGCUAUGGAACACUGAAUCACUUAGUCACUUAGCUGUCUGGACCUCGGUAUCCCCUCUUGUAAAACAAGAGGAUUAGACCAGCAUAUAGAUCUCUACAACGGAACUCUAUAAUCUAAGCUAAAAGCAACUUAAUGCAUAACCCCUACCAUCUAACAGAAACAACUUAAUAUGCUGGUCCUACUACAUAAUAUGUAACAGCAGUAUUUUUUUUUUCAUGUCAAAUAAAAUGGACAAUGACAGUAUUAGGUUGUUAAGGCCCACAAUCUUCCUUUCUUUUGACAAACAGUAAACUGUAAAACUACACUGUGUCAUGUCUUGGUCUUUUCCAUUGUUUUUCUGCUUACCUGUUUUCAGGAGGGAUAUAGUUUGUUUUUGGUUUGGAUAUUUGUUUAUGUUUCAUCUUCUGACUUAAAAUAAAUUAAAUAAUGAGAAAGGAAUAGUAGUGUAUUUUUGUUGUUCAGUCAUUUCAAUCGUGUCUGACUCUUUGUGACCCCAUUUAGGGUUUUCUUGGCAAAGAUGCUGGGAUAGUUUGCCAUUUCUUUAUCCAGCUCAUUUUACAAAUGAGGAAACUGAGGCAAUCAGGAUUAAGUGACUUGCCCAGGAUCACACUGCUAGUAAGUAUCUGAGGUCAGAUUUAAACUUAGAAAAAUGAGUCUUCCUGACUCCAGGCCCAGCACUCUAGACAUUGUGCCAUGUAUCUACCCCAGCAUUGUAAAAAACUCUAGAAAGAGCAUUUUAUAGAUUUAAUUAUAUAUAUAUAUAAUUAUAUAUAAUGCCAUAUAUAGUUACAUAUAUAAUACAUAUACACAUAUAUGUACAUGUUAUAUACACAUAGCCUAACAUAUAACCAUAUAUAACAUGUAUGUGUAAAGACACAAGGGUGUGUACACAUACACAUAUCACUAGUCUUAACUAGCAAUAGCUUAUCCCAAAGGGGCUAUGGGGAUGUCAAAGUUGGGGAGGGAUGGGAACCAAGUUUAUUAAGCCAGGUACUGUGCUAAAUUAUCUCAUUUGAUCCUCACAAUAAACCUGGGAGGUAGAUACUAUUACUGUUGCCAUUUUAUGAAUGAGGAAACUAAGACAACAAAGGCCCAGUGACUUGCCUAAGGUCACACUAAAAUGUAUCUGAGGCUGGAUUUGUACUCAGGUCUUUCUGACUGCAGGCCUAGCACUCUAGCUGCCUUUAGACUAAGGGGGAGGAGAGUAUUUGUGUGUGGAGCAGGGUUGUGUUGGGAUAGGGGAGAUGGAGGCAGUUUUCAAAUGUUAGCAUGCUGGUGACUGCCUUGUCCAUCUCUCUGUAAUACAAAUCCAAGGCAGGAUUGCACUUGGGUUGGAUUCGGACAACACGAAGGGAUGCUUCCUAGAUCUUAGAAAGAAGCUAUUUGGGACAUGUCAUUUCAUUAAGUGCAAAUCCAUUAGGCUCCUAAAAUGCAUGUCAAUGCCCUGGGGAGACACUUCCAGAAAAUGGGGAAAUAUACUGCUUUCCAACAAAGGUGGAGUGUCCUUGGCCAUGAAAAGGGAAUUGAUUGUCCAAAUAAUUCAAAAGCUAAAGCCUUGCAUCCUUCCAAAUUAUUUAGGUCACUUCCUCUAUGCUGUCUUGGUUCUUCAGAGCCUAACAGAGAUGGGUCCCCACAAUUCUAUGGCAGAAUUAAGAAAUCUACUUGCGAUUCAAUCUCAUAAGUAUUUGGCAAACAUUCUAGAUGGCUCUCUAAGACCCCAGAUUACAUCUGAAUUGCUCAUUUGCAUCAGAGGGGCUUUCCAAACUGAGAGUUCCUUCAUCAAUGAAAAAAUAGGAGCAGCUGCCAUUUUGAUGCUUUUAAGGUUUGCAAAGUACUUUACAUAUAUCACUUCAUUUGACCCUCACAACAACCCUGUCAAAUAAAUUCUAUAGGUAUUAAUAGCCCCCUUUUAGCUCAGGAAGCUGAGACUUCAAAAGGUUAAACAACUUAGCCAAGAUCACACAGCCAGUGAGGUGGGAUUUGUAGCCUGGUCUUUCUGAUUUAAGUCCAGUGCUCUGUCCAUUAGGCAAAACUGCCUCUCUGGAUCUCAGGGUUGUCUCCCUCACCCCACACAUAUUUAAUUGAUGUCCACAUUUUGUUCAGUCUACCUCUGCAAUAUUCCUUGUAUCCUUCUCUACUCACAGGGUCACCCCUAUAGUUCAAGUCUUUAACACUUCUCCUUUGGAUUAUUUUAAUAGUCUCCUAUCUGUUUGGUUGCCUCAAGUCUCUCCCCCUUCAAAUGUCUGUUGCACAUUAAUUUCCAAAGUGAUAUGACUAAAGUCUAAGCCUGGCCAUAUUGCUUGGUAUAAAUUCCAAAGGUCUCCUUGUUUUUCAGUCAUAUCUGACUCUUGGUGACCCCGUGUGGCUUAUUUAUUUAUUUAUUUAUUUUUAUAUAAACCCUUACCAUCUGUCUUGGAGCCAAUACUGUGUAUUGGCUCCAAGGCAGAAGAGUGGUAAGGGCUAGGCAAUGGGGGUCAAGUGACUUGCCCAGGGUCACACAGCUGGGAAGUGUCUGAGGUCAGAUUUAAACCUAGGACCUCCUGUCUCUAGACCUGGCUCUCAACCCACUGAGCUACCGAGCUACCCAGCUGCACCUCCCCCCACACCCCCAUUUGGCUUUUUAUUGGUGAAGAUACUGCAGUGGUUUGCCAUUUCCUUUUCCAGAUCAUUUUAAAGAUGAGAAAACUGAGGCAAACAAAGUUAAGGGACUCUCCCAGGAUCACACAGCUAACAAGAAUCUGAGACUGGACUUGAGCUCAGGAAAAUGAAUCUUCCUGACUACAGACCUGGUGCUCUAUUCACUGCACCACCUAGCUGCCCUAAAAAGCAAGCUCUUCUGGCAUUUAAAGUUCUUCUCCACUCAGCUCCAACAACCUUUCUCUUUUUUAUGACACUCUGCUCCUUCACAGGCACACUGAAAUCCAGUCACACUAGCUGGAUUUCUGCUGCUUCUCCCACGUGAUACCUCCCACUGCUACGCCUUAGCAUGGACUGUCUAGCUAACCCCUUGGGCUUACCUCUGCCCCAAUCACGUGAAGCCUCUUCUGUUCCUCCCCACUCCACCCGGAUCGGAACACAUACCGCCCUAUAUUACCUUAUACAUCUAAUUAUAGAGUGGUAGCGAGAAUUUCGAAAUUGUAUCAGUUCAAAUCCUGUUCCUUCUAUUACCUUGUAUUUCUUUUGUAUCUACUUACAUGAAUACGUGUUAUCUCCCCCAUAAAAGGCAAGCACUUUAAGUGUGGGGACUGUAGGAUUCCUCCCAUCCCCAAGAAAUAGUAGAGUGCGUCACCCACUGUUGCCACUUAAGAAAUGCUGGUUUAUUGAUUUCUCUGGCCAUACCAUUCCCCCCAAAUGUACAAACCACCAUGCUAGGCGCUGAAAACACAAAGACAAAAAGAAAUCCAUCCUUAUGAAUGAAGAGUGUACGGUCCAUUGAAGGAAACGCUGAAACCUUUCAACAGAUAGACAAAUACAAUGUGACGACACACUCCAGAAACUUAACUUGGUUAUAUUGAACUUGAACCCUCUGGUGACAUUCAGGAUCAGUGGCAAAAAGUCCUUUUCUAUUUGCAGGGAAUCCUAAUCCCCGUCUGACUGUCUCCUCUCCUCAUUUCAAAACCCUUCCAAACAAACAAGACACUCUGGCCACACAAUAUCCCCAAUAGCUGGGGACAGUUUGCAGAGCUAGCCAGUAAAUCCAAUGCGUGCUUGCUGACCCCAGAGAGAUCAGACUAAAACUUGAGGGUGGGGAGAAGGAGUCGGGGAGGGUUAGUUAUCCAGUUAGCUGCCGGCAUUGGUAGAAUUCACUGAAUAACUGCUUGGGUCUCCAUUUGCCUACUAGAUGCCAGUUUUUAAUUUGCCCUAAAUGCCAUUCCUAGCAUCCUUCAUUCCAUGACUCCUAUAGCAUGAUUUCUCCCUCCCUCACGCCUUUUCUCCAACCAAAUUUCAGGUUCAUUGAAGUCAAGGUUUUUCCGUGACCUUCUCUUCUACCUCCUCGGAGGUCUGUUAGCCAGAGGACACUUCCCUUCCCACCUAGAACUGAGAACUGCUUCAACCAAGAUGGGAAAGGGACACGUCAUCCCAGAAAAGUUGCAAAGGGACAAAUUUGGGCGAGAAGGAGCUCUAGAAUGAAAUGGACUGCCUCAGGAAGUGAUGGUUUUCCCUUCUUGGGAGGUAUUUGAGAAGAGGUUGGACUGUCAGAGAAGAGCUGUUUUCUCUCUUUCGGUUUCAAACCUUCAGACUUUUUAAGUCUACGAUUUACGCAAACUCCCAAAGGGAAGAUUGCCCAGUGAUCCUCUCUGGGGAAAGGAAUGAAAAGGACACAAAACAAAAUAAUGGCACGUGAAGCAAUUAACCAGGAGAGCCGAGCUUUCAGCCAGCCCCACCCGCUCUGGCACCAUGCUUUAACUCCCUCACCUGUCAAAUGAAGCCAAGAUCUCAUCUCCAGAUACUGCAGCUUAAGGGCUUUGAAUGACAGCUGCGACCUAAGCAGGAAGUAUUAUUUACAGCACAUCACAAGAACAGUGAAGGUGACUGAAAGACAAGCCCAUUGACAAGAUGCCAAGCACAUGGGUUUGGGGUGGGAAAGCAGGUUCAAGAAGAUGAAAUCUUUCAUCGUCAGUCUUUAGUCCAUCUUGCCUCUCCCAUACACCAUCUCCUCAGUCCACACUGCUUCCCCAAACUUCAAGCAUUCAUUCAAAAGUAUUUUUGGAGCACUAACUACUACGUUCUGGUAUAUUUUGGAGCUAUGGGAACAGCACUGUGCAAGGUAUCUCAGAAGAUACUAAAAUGGGUAAAUCACAUGGUCCUUGCCUUUAGACUCUAACAAUCUCGUUGGCACAAGACAUACACAUAAACACUAAUUUCCUCAAUUUUUCAUCAACCAGUGAGCAUUUAUUAGGGGUUUAGAAUGUGCUGGGCACUGUGCUAAGAUGAAGAUGCAACCCCCGCCCCCCCAAACCAGUUACUGCCUUUAAGAAAUUACAUUCCUUUUUUGUUUUGAAACCCUUACCUUCCAUCUUAGAAUCAAUACUGUGUAUUGGUUCCAAGGCAGAAGAGCAGUAAGGGCCAGGAAAUGGGGGUUAAGUGACUUGCCCAGGGUCACACAGCUGGGAAGUAUCUGAGGUAAGAUUUGAACCUAGAACCUCCUAUCUCUAGGCCUGGCUCUCAGUCCACUGAGUCUCUCGGCUACGCCCAAGGAGCUUACAUUCUAAUAGAGGAGAUAACAUAUACAUAGAAGUGGCCUUUGGAAGGAAGGCACAAGGAGCAAGGGAAACUGGAAAAGGACUCCUGCAGAAGAAGGCAGCAUUUGAGUUGAUCUGAAAGGAAGCCAAGGAUUAUAAGAGUCAGAGAUUAGGAAGGAGAACAUUCCAGGCAUAAAGAACUAUUAAUAAAAAGACAGAGAAAGGAGAUGGAACAUCAGCAGGGAGGAACAGCAAGGAGACCACUAUAGUAUACAGAGACUAGAGUGUACAGAAGGGCAACGAGGCAGUGCAGUGGAAAGAUCAUUGGGCUUAGAAUCAGUAAGACUCCUAUUCAUGAGUUCAAAUCUGGUCUAGACAUUUGCCAGCUGUGUGAUGUUGGACAAGUCACUUAACCCUCUUUGCCUCAGUUUCCUUAACUGCCAAAUGAGCUAGAGAAGGAAAUGGCAAGUAUCUUUAACAAGUAAACUCAAAAAGGGUGUCAUGAAGUGUUGGAUAUGACUGAAAAUUGAACAAUGAUGAGUUAAAAGACUAUAAUGAUAAAAGAGAGUUUAACUUGUGUACAAAUUUAAGUUAUACAGAUAAUAUUUAAUGUUGACUCUACAACUUACUAUUAUUGCUAUGACCUUGGAAAAAUCAUUUCAUACUUCCUGGAUCCUCAGUUUCCUUUUCUGCAAAAUGAGAGGUAGACAACCUCUGAGGUCUUUUCCAGCUCUAGUUCAUUUGGAUUGGAUAAAGAACCAAAAUGACUAGCAUAACUUCUAAGUAGAAAGUGCUAAUGAAAAAGGUUGACAUUGCUAUAAGUGCUAUGGAAGGGAGCUUUCAAUAAAGGCUGGAGUUUUUAAGGAAGACUUCCUGGAGGAGAUGGUUCUUGAGUUGGACUUUGUAUGAAUAAUGUGGACCUGGUACAUUUCUAGACUGCCUGAGAUUGUAUCUCUUUAUGUGAUAGGCUGGAAGGAAGCUGUAUGAGGACUAGAGGGUUAGAAUCACAGGACUGGAGCAGGUACAGACAUUUUGUAUUGUCCUAACAUGCACACAGAAGGAGCCUUUUUUCAUUGGCUAAAUAACUAGAUUUGUUCCUGCCUUCAAAAUGACCUGCUUUAGCACCCACUGUGGCCUUUUCUGCAUUUGCAUCUGAGGGAACAAGAUGACUCCUUCAUCAACAGUCUCAUAAGACUAUGCAACAGGAAGGAAGACCCUCUCCCCCAAGGUCGUAUGGCCCCAGUGAAACAUUCCUGGGGCUUUUGCCUUCUGGUUCAGGUGGGCACAAAAUAAAUGCUUGAUUAAUGCUAUUCAUUAAUUCAUGAGGGGGAUCUGUAUGAGCAUACUGAGUCAGUUUGUAGAGAGCCUUAAAUGCCAGGACAGAGGCAAAGGGAGCCCAAGAAGGUUUUUGCAUUGGAAAGUGAGAGAAAAGCCUGGAGGCAUGGUCUGGAAAGGGUGAGAAGACUGUGUUAUAAAAAAUUCAAAGAUUUUGAUUUUGUUCGAGAAAAGAUCUUCAAGAAAGAAGCUUGAAACUUUUAUAUCCAGAGAAUGAACUGUUGCAGAAAGAUGCCAAAAACCUACACUUCAUCAAGAAGAUCAAGAAUGAACUUUGGAUGUGAUUGAUUGGACUGAACUUUUGAUUGAACAUUUAUUGUAACUGUACACAUUUAUGCCAAAAGGGACUGCCCCUAACUUGGCUUUCUGUCAAUGCGCCUAGCAAACAUUGGUUUUGCUUUCUUUUCUUUUCUAUUUCCUCUCUCACUAUUCUAAUUUCUCUUAGAAAAUUGAAUAUUGUAUAUAUCUUUAGUUAGAAGUGAAUUUAGAACUACAACAUGAUUAUGUUAAAUGAUCAAUGGGGAGACUAGUCUCCCAAUGAUCAUCAGGGGGGAUUGUAAACCUUAAAAUUUCUUAGACUUAUAAAUGUUGAAAAUUUCACCAUUGGGAAAUUUCAUACUUGAAAAAUUUCCUAUUGAUAGUGGGUCUUGGCUCUUUUUGGACUUCUGUUUUGGAGCAGACACAGCUCUUUCCAUAAUGUAGGUGAGGUCUAGGCCUCUGGCCUAGACACGUGUUUUUUCUUAUCCUGUAUUUUCUUUUAAUCCUUAACUUUAAUAAACCUCAUAAAAUAUAA